CCUGGAAAACAUUUAAAUGAUGAUGGAAAAAGGAGACAAGAACUUAAAAAACACAGUAGAAAGAAGGAAGGCAACACAAGGGCGACAAAAGGGACAAAAAGUAAGUGACAAACUU